rnacentral:tRNA from 1 species
GCCUUUGUGGUGUAGUGGUCAGCAAACUGACGUGUAACCGAGAGGUCCGUGGUUCAAUUCCCGGCGGAGGCG